GGUGGUCUAUCAUAAGUUUGCUUUGUCUACUGGUAACAUCUGCUUUGAACCUAGUAAACGUCAAUUACUUAAAAUUUACUAAGUUGAUCAUUGCUGAUAGUAAAAAACGAAAUUAGUUUCUCGCAAUCAAAUAUAUCUUACAACGCUUUUUAAGCAUAUUGAGAACGAUUAGAGUGCCUACAUUUCAUAAAACACACAAGGUUUGGGCCAAAAUUAAGAGCAAAAGCUCCCCGCCCUUUCUUUUUAUUUAAUUAUAUAGUGCGGAUCCUUUAAGCAGUGGGAAAAUAAGGGAGCAAUGAGAAAAUAAUAUGCUAUAUAUAUAAUUUUUGUCGUUUGUUAAUCUACCAAAUGAUGAUGCAGAUGUAAUUGAAUUGUUUUUGUAAAUAUUUAUUUUUUUUUCUA